rnacentral:rRNA from 1 species
AUUGAACGCUGGCGGCAGGCUUAACACAUGCAAGUCGAGCGGAGAUGAGGUGCUUGCACCUUAUCUUAGCGGCGGACGGGUGAGUAAUGCUUAGGAAUCUGCCUAUUAGUGGGGGACAACAUUCCGAAAGGAAUGCUAAUACCGCAUACGCCCUACGGGGGAAAGCAGGGGAUCUUCGGACCUUGCGCUAAUAGAUGAGCCUAAGUCGGAUUUGCUAGUUGGUGGGGUAAAGGCCUACCAAGGCGACGAUCUGUAGCGGGUCUGAGAGGAUGAUCCGCCACACUGGGACUGAGACACGGCCCAGACUCCUACGGGAGGAAGCAGUGGGGAAUAUUGGACAAUGGGCGGAAGCCUGAUCCAGCCAUGCCGCGUGUGUGAAGAAGGCCUUUUGGUUGUAAAGCACUUUAAGCGAGGAGGAGGCUACCUGGAUUAAUACUCUAGGAUAGUGGACGUUACUCGCAGAAUAAGCACCGGCUAACUCUGUGCCAGCCGCCGCUGUAAAAC